UCCACAAAGAGAGCGUCACCAAGUACUCUUCAAUCAAUCUAAUUCCAGAGAAACUUUAUUUUUUGAUAGAGAAUGUGGUUUGCAUUUCUUUGUUUCGAUUUGGUAUUCUUCAGAAUCAGAAAAAUUUUCAUUAACAUGUGAGGAUGAACUAGGAACAAAGUGGGUUGUUUGCUUAAUUUUCAUUAACAUAUGAGGAUGAGGAAAAUUUUCCAUUAACUAUAGGGGAUUAGGCUGCUGUUUGCUUUUUGAAAAAUUUUCGGGGAUUAUAUUGAUCAUAUGAGGAUGAAAUAGGAACAAAAUUGUUUCGUGGUAAAAUUGGUUACUAAAUAUUUGGAAUUGAUAAUAGAAGUUUCUGUGUAUACUUC
rnacentral:misc_RNA from 1 species